ensembl:tRNA
GCUGUUUUGCAUGGCCGAGUGGUCUAAUUAGAGCCUUAAGGCGCUGCGUUCAGGUCGCAGUCCUCUCAGGAGGGCGCAGGUUCAAAUCCUGCGGACAGCA